GAUGAACGCUAGCGGCAGGCUUAAUACAUGCAAGUCGUGGGGCAGCACAGUAUAGCAAUAUAUGGGUGGCGACCGGCAAACGGGUGCGGAACACGUACGCAACCUUCCUUCGAGCGGGGAAUAGCCCAGAGAAAUUUGGAUUAAUACCCCAUAAAAUUAUGAGAUGGCAUCAUCUUAUUAUUAAAGCUACGGCACUCGGAGAUGGGCGUGCGGCUGAUUAGGUAGUUGGCGGAGUAACAGCCCACCAAGCCUUCGAUCAGUAACUGGUGUGAGAGCAUGACCAGUCAACCGGGAACUGAGACACGGGCCCGACUCCUACGGGAGGCAGCAGUAAGGAAUAUUGGUCAAUGGACGCAAGUCUGAACCAGCCAUGCCGCGUGGAGGAUGAAGGUCCUCUGGAUUGUAAACUUCUUUUAUAUGGGACGAAAAAGGGGUAUUCUUACCCAACUGACGGUACCAUAUGAAUAAGCACCGGCUAACUCCGUGCCAGCCGCCGCCGUAAUAC
rnacentral:rRNA from 1 species